CGAAAAAAAAAAAAAAGAAGCAACAACAAACAGGUAUGGCAUUUGGGCCUCAGAUUUUAGACAGAAAACAGAGAAGUUGGGAUGGGAAGUAGAGGAGGCCCAUGAUUUGUUUGUUUUACAAUAUUGCCCCUUCUGUGAGGUCGCUCCCGGCACGAAGAAGAGGUGGAAAAAGUGCAUUGUGGUUGUUGGAAACUUGAAAAUGGGGGGGUCGUCGUCGACAAGCAAGGAUGCAUUGGCUCUAUUCCAGUUCCUCGGCUCCGCCUAUUCAGCCACUCAUACCACUUUCAAGAUCAUAGAUCUCUAUGUCGUUUAUGCUGUCUUCACAGCUCUCACCCAGGUAGUUUACAUGGCUAUUGUUGGAUCAUUUCCAUUUAACUCUUUUCUUUCAGGAGUACUUUCUUGUAUAGGAACAGCAGUUCUUGCUGUUUGCCUCCGGAUUCAAGUGAACAAAAAGAACAAGGAAUUCACGGAUUUGCCACCACAGCGUGCAUUUGCGGAUUUUCUUCUAUCCAAUUUGGUUCUAAAUUUGGUGAUCAUGAACUUCCUUGGAUAAAUUAGCAAGUAUACUUUUUUGGAGUUAUUUAUGCGGCAACUCUUCUUUAACUGCAAUAUAAUGGAGCCAGCGUAUAUGUGAGACAUGAAGGUUUGUAUAGUUCAUGAAUAGGUCGACUAUCCGAACUGUGAACGGGAACCUGCAAAAUUUUCGAGGUUCGGCUCGAGGCUUAUAGCACUAACAGCUGGAUUGGCCGGGCCAAUUAGGUGGAGCUCAGGGCAUAAGCACUGAAACACAAAAAAGGAAAACAGCUAUAGUGGCAUCCCAGUUUCCAUUAACAGUUUUUUACUUUGGCUGAAUGAUUUCCAGUAACAGUUGACAUUGGUUAGAAAGUCCGCCUAUGAGAUGAUGAAAAACAGUGGAAACUCAACCUUGAAGAAAGAAAACCAACCAAUACAGCAUCCAAAUAAGGAAACUGAUCGCAAGGUGCCAAAUACCGCCUAAGGAGGUAGUAAGAAACGCACCGGUUUCAAAAUUAGCAAAUCGAUUUUGAAAGGCCGGAGUAACUAAAAAAUUAGCCAGCCCCUAGUCAUUUUUUCCAUUUCUAGAAACUUGUUUCAUAUAUAUACAUACAUGUAUAUAAUAGAUAUAGUAACUAUAUUAAUCAUUA